rnacentral:rRNA from 1 species
GACGAACGCUGGCGGCGUGCCUAAUACAUGCAAGUUGAGCGAUGAAGAUUGGUGCUUGCACCAAUUUGAAGAGCAGCGAACGGGUGAGUAACGCGUGGGGAAUCUGCCUUUGAGCGGGGGACAACAUUUGGAAACGAAUGCUAAUACCGCAUAACAACUUUAAACAUAAGUUUUAAGUUUGAAAGAUGCAAUUGCAUCACUCAAAGAUGAUCCCGCGUUGUAUUAGCUAGUUGGUGAGGUAAAGGCUCACCAAGGCGAUGAUACAUAGCCGACCUGAGAGGGUGAUCGGCCACAAUGGGACUGGGACACGGCCCAAACUCCUACGGGGGGCAGCAGUAGGGAAUCUUCGGCAAUGGACGAAAGUCUGACCGAGCAACGCCGCGUGAGUGAAGAAGGUUUUCGGAUCGUAAAACUCUGUUGGUAGAGAAGAACGUUGGUGAGAGUGGAAAGCUCAUCAAGUGACGGUAACUACACAGAAAGGGACGGCUAACUACGUG